UACGUAGGCAGCAAGCGUUGUUCGGAGUUACUGGGCGUAAAGGGUGUGUAGGCGGUUCUCUAAGUCUGGUGUGAAAUCUCCCGGCUCAACUGGGAGGGUGCGCCGAAAAUUGGAGGACUAGAGUGCGGGAUGGGAGAGUGGAAUUCCUGGUGUAGCGGUGAAAUGCGUAGAUAUCAGGAGGAACACCUGUGGUGUAGACGGCUCUCUGGACCGCAACUGACGCUGAGACACGAAAGCGUGGGUAGCAAACAGG
rnacentral:rRNA from 1 species